rnacentral:rRNA from 1 species
AACCUCCGCAAUGUGAGAAAUCGCGACGGGGGGAUCCCAAGUGCCAUUCUUAACGGGAUGGCUUUUCAUUAGUGUAAAGAGCUUUUGGAAUAAGGGCUGGGCAAGACCGGUGCCAGCCGCCGCGGUAACACCGGCAGCUCUAGUGGUAACAAUUUUUAUUGGGCCUAAAGCGUCCGUAGCCGGUUUAAUAAGUCUCUGGUGAAAUCCUGUAGCUUAACUGUGGGAAUUGCUGGAGAUACUAUUAGACUUGAGACCGGGAGAGGUUAGAGGUACUCCCAGGGUAGAGGUGAAAUUCUGUAAUCCUGGGAGGACCGCCUGUUGCGAAGGCGUCUAACUGGAACGGUUCUGACGGUGAGGGACGAAAGUUAGGGGCGCGAACCGGAUUAGAUACCCGGGUAGUCCUAACUGUAAACGAUGCGGACUUGGUGUUGGGGUGGCUUUGAGCUGCUUCAGUGCCGAAGGGAAGCUGUUAAGUCCGCCGCCUGGGAAGUACGGUCGCAAGACUGAAACUUAAAGGAAUU